UACAGAGACUGCAAGCGUUAUUCGGAUUCACUGGGCGUAAAGGGUGCGCAGGCGGCCGUGUGUGUCAGGUGUGAAAGCCCGGAGCUUAACUCCGGAAUUGCGCCUGAAACUACAUGGCUAGAGCAUUGGGGAGGGUAGCGGAAUUCACGGUGUAGCAGUGAAAUGCGUAGAUAUCGUGAGGAACACCAGAGGCGAAGGCGGCUACCUGGACAAUUGCUGACGCUCAGGCACGAAAGCGUGGGGAGCAAACAGG
rnacentral:rRNA from 1 species